rnacentral:rRNA from 1 species
CUGGCUCAGAACGAACGCUGGUGGCGUGUCUAUACAUGCAAGUCGAGCGAGGCAGCAAUGCCGAGCGGCGAACGGGUGAGUAACGCGUAAGCAAUCUGCCCCAUAUCAGGAAAUACCCGUGCCAACGCGCGGUUAAUGUCCAGGAGAGUGGCCCUCUGCAUGGAGGGUUGACUAGAGAUUUAUCGGUAUGGGAUGAGCUUGCGUCCGAUUAGCUAGUUGGCGGGGCAACGGCCCACCAAGGCGACGAUCGGUAGCCGGCCUGAGAGGGUGAUCGGCCACAUUGGGACUGAGAUACGGCCCAGACUCCUACGGGAGGCAGCAGUAGGGAAUAUUGCACAAUGGGGGAAACCCUGAUGCAGCAACGCCACGUGUGGGAAGAAGCAUUUCGGUGUGUAAACCACUGUCAUGAGGGAAUAAGGCCCUUAUCCGUAAGGGAUUGAAUGUACCUUGAGAGGAAGCACCGGCAAACUUCGUGCCAGCCGCGGC